GAAGAUGCGGUAACACGCAUUGGAGGACCGAACCGACUACCGUUGAAAAGUUAGCGGAUGACCUGUGGAUCGGAGUGAAAGGCUAAUCAAGCUCGGAGAUAGCUGGUUCUCCCCGAAAGCUAUUUAGGUAGCGCCUCGGACGAAUACCACUGGGGGUAGAGCACUGUUUCGGCUAGGGGGUCAUCCCGACUUACCAAACCGAUGCAAACUCCGAAUACCAGUGAGUACUAUCCGGGAGACACACGGCGGGUGCUAACGUCCGUCGUGAAGAGGGAAACAACCCAGACCGCCAGCUAAGGUCCCCAAAUUCCAGUUAAGUGGGAAACGAUGUGGGAAGGCUCAGACAGCUAGGAGGUUGGCUUAGAAGCAGCCACCCUUUAAAGAAAGCGUAAUAGCUCACUAGUCGAGUCGGCCUGCGCGGAAGAUGUAACGGGGCUCAAACUGGAUACCGAAGCUGCGGCAGCAGACUUGUUCUGCUGGGUAGGGGAGCGUUGUGUAAGCCUGUGAAGGUGUGUUGAGAAGCAUGCUGGAGGUAUCACAAGUGCGAAUGCUGACGUGAGUAACGAUAAUGGGGGUGAAAAACCCCCACGCCGAAAGACCAAGGUUUCCUGCGCAACGCUAAUCGGCGCAGGGUGAGUCGGCCCCUAAGGCGAGGCAGAAAUGCGUAGCUGAUGGGAAACGGGUUAAUAUUCCCGUACUUCUUAUAACUGCGAUGGAGAGACGGAGAAGGCUAUGCCUACCGGGCGUUGGUUGUCCCGGGGAAAGGCUGUAGGCUGAGGUGUUAGGCAAAUCCGGCACCUUAAGGCUGAGAGUCGAGACCACUGGUCCUUUGUGACCGGGAAGUGGUUGAUGCCAUGCUUCCAGGAAAAUCUUCUAAGCUUCAGGUUAUAAGGAACCGUACCCCAAACCGACACAGGUGGUUGGGAUGAGUAUUCU
rnacentral:rRNA from 1 species